rnacentral:rRNA from 1 species
GACGUAGGGCGCGAGCGUUGUCCGGAUUUAUUGGGCGUAAAGAGCUCGUAGGCGGCGUGUCACGUCGGCCGUGAAAACCUGCAGCUUAACUGUGGGCGUGCGGUCGAUACGGGCAUCACUGGAGUUCGGCAGGGGAGACUGGAAUUCCUGGUGUAGCGGUGAAAUGCGCAGAUAUCAGGAGGAACACCGGUGGCGAAGGCGGGUCUCUGGGCCGAUACUGACGCUGAGGAGCGAAAGCGUGGGGAGCAAACAG